rnacentral:rRNA from 1 species
AACGAACGCUGGCGGCAUGCCUAACACAUGCAAGUCGAACGAGACCUUCGGGUCUAGUGGCGCACGGGUGCGUAACGCGUGGGAACCUGCCCUUAGGUUCGGAAUAACUCCCCGAAAGGGGUGCUAAUACCGGAUAAUGUCUUCGGACCAAAGAUUUAUCGCUUUUGGAUGGGCCCGCGUUGGAUUAGCUAGUUGGUAGGGUAAAAGCCUACCAAGGCGACGAUCCAUAGCUGGUCUGAGAGGAUGAUCAGCCACACUGGGACUGAGACACGGCCCAGACUCCUACGGGAGGCAGCAGUAGGGAAUAUUGGACGAUGGGCGAAAGCCUGAUCCAGCAAUGCCGCGUGAGUGAUGAAGGCCUUAGGGUUGUAAAGCUCUUUUACCCGGGAUGAUAAUGACAGUACCGGGAGAAUAAGCUCCGGCUAACUCCGUG